rnacentral:lncRNA from 1 species
CCAGCCUGCAAACACUUGGUGAAUGUCAGUUCAUCCACUCCUACCUAAUAAAGAAUGAGAGCAUCGUCCAAGUGGGAGAGUUUAGUGUCACACGGAUGGAGGUGGUUUUCACCAUCGACAGUGCCGUCACGAGGGAUUCGGGUCAUUACAGCUGUGUGGUGCUGCCCUCCAACUGCAUCCAGGAGCACAAGAUAACAAUCCAAGGAAAUAACACAGUAUUACUCGAGGUCAAAGACAGUUUGUUCCUCCAAGUGAUUGUCUCCAGUUCAGUGAUAACCCUGAUUUUGUUACUGAUCCUGUGUCUGUGUUGCAUCGACAAAUCAGACUGUUCAGCUUCGUGCAUACCAUGGGCGGUGACUCAGCCGGCAGAUACAGAGAUGUUGGAGGAGCAGCCGGAGCAGACAGAGGGAGAGGAUCUGGAAUCACAAGAUGGUAUGUUGAUAAAGGGAUUCCAGUGAAGACACACUCUGGGGAGACUGUAACGAAAUUACCUCCAGAGACUUUGAAAAGAAAACACGGUCUAGC